rnacentral:rRNA from 1 species
GAUGAACGCUGGCGGCGUGCCUAAUACAUGCAAGUCGAGCGAACGGACGAGAAGCUUGCUUCUCUGAUGUUAGCGGCGGACGGGUGAGUAACACGUGGAUAACCUUCCUAUAAGACUGGGAUAACUUCGGGAAACCGGAGCUAAUACCGGAUAAUAUUUUGAACCGCAUGGUUCAAAAGUGAAAGACGGUCUUGCUGUCACUUAUAGAUGGAUCCGCGCUGCAUUAGCUAGUUGGUAAGGUAACGGCUUACCAAGGCAAGGAUGCAUAGCCGACCUGAGAGGGUGAUCGGCCACACGGGAAGUGAGACACGGACCAGACGCCUACGGGAGGCAGCAGUAGGGAAUCGUCCGCAAUGGGCGAAAGCCUGACGGAGCAACGCCGCGCGAGUGAUGAAGGUCUCCGGAUCGUAAAACUCUGUUAUUAGGGAAGAACAUAUGUGUAAGGAACUGUGCACAUCUUGACGGUACCUAAUCAGAAAGCCACGGCUAACUACGUG